GACAGAGGGGGCAAGCGUUGCUCGGAAUCACUGGGCGUAAAGGGCGCGUAGGCGGGAUGGCAAGUCAGUCGUGAAAUCUCUCGGCUCAACCGAGAAACGUCGGCUGAUACUGCCGUUCUUGAGGGAUGCAGAGGAGACUGGAAUUCCCGGUGUAGCGGUGAAAUGUGUAGAGAUCGGGAGGAACACCAAUGGCGAAAGCAGGUAACUGGACUAUUACUGACACUCAACUGCGAAAGCUAGGGGAGCAAACAGG
rnacentral:rRNA from 1 species